rnacentral:Y_RNA from 1 species
UAUUAGCCGUACAUCAGUGUGUUCUCUUGAUGUUUAUUUAAUGCUAAAAAGGCCUAAUAACUACAGUCAGUUACUGAUUGAACUCCUUGUUCUAUCCUUUUUCCCACUUCUCACUACUGCACUUGGCUAGUCUUAA